rnacentral:rRNA from 1 species
UACGGAGGGGGCUAGCGUUGUUCGGAAUUACUGGGCGUAAAGCGCACGUAGGCGGCUUUGUAAGUUAGAGGUGAAAGCCCGGGGCUCAACUCCGGAAUUGCCUUAGAAUGAUCGCUAGAAUUGUGGAGAGGUAAGUGGAAUUCCGAGUGUAGAGGUGAAAUUCGUAGAUAUUCGCAAGAACACCAGUGGCGAAGGCGGACUCACUGGCCCGAUACUGACGCUGACGGUGCGAAAGCGUGGGGAGCAAACAGGGAUUAAGAUACCCGGG